ensembl:lncRNA
CUCCCAAUGCAGGGAGUCCAUGUUCGAUCACUACUCAGAAAACUCAAUCCCACGUGCCACAAUUAAGAACCCACAUGAUGCAGUGCAGCCAAAUAAAUUAAAAAAGCAAAAGAAAAGGUAAGCCUGACUUUAGGCAGAGCUGGGCUCAGAGAGGUAGGAGAUGUACGAGAAUUUGGUGUGUUUAACUCACUCUGCACCUCUCAGCUCUGUUUUAUUCUAAGAAUUUUUUCACAUGGAGCAAAGGAGUCCUAUAUAUAGACACAGGAGCCAGAAGAAUUCCAGUUUCCCACGUUUCACAGCACCUGUGAUCCUAAGAGGCCUGGUUUCUGCCAGCACCUGUGUCAAUUCCUGAAAAAGGACUCUGUGUGUCUCAUCCCCAAACCAGUCAUUCCGGCCACGGAGAUGCAGUAUUGUUACUGACCAGGCUGGGGACACCGUGGCUGCCCAACCCCAAGAGCCAAGGUGAGGCGAGCUUUCAGUUUCCAGAGCCACAGAGACUGAGAAGGAGCAAGGAGUCAUUUCCCAAACAGAUGGCAGGCAGACAAAAAUAACAGAGCAUAUCCAGCUACUUCCUCUCCAUAAGAUCCUCAUGGACUGAUUUUGAUCAUGGAAAGAGUCUCUGAAAUCAGCCCCCUCUGAUCUCUGCCUCCUGGUAUUACAUUGUUCUAUGAUCCCCUCCCUUCCACGUGGGCUGGAUUGAGUGACUCACUUCUAGAGAAGACAAUCUGGUGGAGGCGAUGGUGUCAGUUCUGAGACUGGGUGAUGAAGGACUGCAGAUUCCAUCUUGGUGGCCCCAACUUUUGCUGCCUAUCUCUUGCCUGGUUCCCUUGGGGAAGCUGGCGACCAUGUUGUCAGUCAGCCCCUAUGCAGAGGCUCAGGGGUCCAGUAGUUAUGAACCCGCCUGCCAAUGGAGAGGCUAUGAGUUCAAUCCCUGGUCUGGGAAGAUUCCACAUGUCUCGGG